GACGAACGCUGGCGGCGUGCCUAACACAUGCAAGUCGAACGGUAAGGCUUCCUUCGGGAAGUACACGAGUGGCGAACGGGUGAGUAACACGUGGGUAACCUGCCCUUCACCGGGGGACAACCGAGGGAAACUUCGGCUAAUACCGCAUAACGUGCAGCUUCAUAAGGAGCUGUACCAAAACUCCGGUGGUGAAGGAUGGGCCCGCGGCGGUUUAGCUUGUUGGUGGGGUAACGGCCUACCAAGGCGACGAUCCGUAGCUGGUCUGAGAGGACGAUCAGCCACACUGGAACUGAGACACGGUCCAGACUCCGACGGUAGGCAGCAGUGGGGAAUCUUGCGCAAUGGGCGAAAGCCGGACGCAGCAACGCCGCGUGAGGGAAGAAGGUCUUAGGAUUGUAAACCUCUUUCAGCAGGGACGAAAUUGACGGUACCUGCAGAAGAAGCUCCGGCUAACUACGUGCCAGCAGCCGCGGUAA
rnacentral:rRNA from 1 species